GAGGGUAUAGCUCAAGUGGUAGAGCGCAUGUUUAACAUGCAUGAGGUCCUGGGUUCAAUCCCCAGCACCUCCU
rfam:Camelus ferus unplaced genomic scaffold scaffold32405, whole genome shotgun sequence.